rnacentral:rRNA from 1 species
AGUGAACGCUGGCGGUAGGCCUAACACAUGCAAGUCGAACGGCAGCACAGUAAGAGCUUGCUCUUACGGGUGGCGAGUGGCGGACGGGUGAGGAAUACAUCGGAAUCUACUUUUUCGUGGGGGAUAACGUAGGGAAACUUACGCUAGUACCGCAUACGACCUACGGGUGAAAGCAGGGGAUCUUCGGACCUUGCGCGAUUGAAUGAGCCGGUGUCGGAUUAGCUAGUUGGCGGGGUAAAGGCCCACCAAGGCGACGAUCCGUAGCUGGUCUGAGAGGAUGAUCAGCCACACUGGAACUGAGACACGGUCCAGACUCCUACGGGAGGCAGCAGUGGGGAAUAUUGGACAAUGGGCGCAAGCCUGAUCCAGCCAUACCGCGUGGGUGAAGAAGGCCUUCGGGUUGUAAAGCCCUUUUGUUGGGAAAGAAAAGCAGCAGGUUAAUACCCCGCUGUUCUGACGGUACCCAAAGAAUAAGCACCGGCUAACUUCGUG